GAGGUUUUGCUGUGUUGCCCAGACUAAUCUCGAACUCCUUGGCUCAAGUGAUUCACUUGCCUUGGCCUUGAAAGUGCUAGGAUUACAGGUGUGCACCACUACGCCUAGACUUGAAGCAUUUACUCCGGGGAACUGACGAAAUUCUGGAGUUCAGGGCGCAGACUCAAAGGGAAGACCAUGUGGAGAAGCAGGGAAAUCGUGGCCAUGUGGAAACCAACGAGGGAGGUCCAGGGAGAAGCCAACACCACGAACACCUUGAUCUGAGACUUCCAGCUCCAGAAUCACAAGUAGAGAUGGGGUUUCACCAUGUUGGCCAAGCUGAUCUCAAAUUCCUGACCUCUGAUGAUUCGCCCGCCUGGACCUCCCAAAGUGGUGGUGAGUGAGCCACACUUCUUUAUAUUUUAAGUCAUCUCUAGAUUACUUAUAAUUCCUUGUGCAAUGUAAAUGCUGUAUGUAUUUUUAGUAGAGAUGGAGUUUCGCCAUGUUGACCAAGCUGAUCUCGAACUCCUGAC
rnacentral:lncRNA from 13 species